UAUCAACACAUUGGAGCUGUCUGAUGGUGGUAUAGAAGGUCCGUACGCAAGCGAGGACUUAAGAUACCUUUCAGUGCAUAUAGGGCUUAUUAUAAAGGAAGACCAGUCUCCAGAAAGUACAGAAGGACCUGUGGUGGUGGAUUCCAGCAAGGACAUAUUAAUACACUGUGAGGAUGAGGAUGUACACAACACUGAACGGGAUCCAGAACCAAAACCCGCAAGGGUGGUUUUGACAAAUCCAAUCCAGAUCCAAAACACGAAGAAAGAUCCAGAUCCAAAACCAAAACACAAAACAUGAAAAGUGGCCUGUGCACACCCCUGCACAUAUCUUUCAUAAAUAGUGAUGAAUUUUUAUGUUUUCCUAAGAAUUACAGUAGAUUCAUUUAACAACAGCAACAUUUCACUACAGCUGGAAGUCAUGAUUAACGGAUGGGUAUGAACAAGAGGUGACUUAUCGAGGUAAACUUUCCCAGGUGAUGAAUUCUCCUAGUAAAUAAAGAAGAUUUUACAUUAUAGUAUACUUAUUUUACAGCUCCUGGUGACACUUUGAAGUCCCUAAUCUGGGUCCCCAGUGGUAUGACAGUGUAAAUUUGAAUCUGAGUAACAUUAUUUAUUUUCUUUGUUUUCCAUCCUCUGCACUCAAC